AUGUUGCCACGGAAACACACUUAUGUCAUAAUCUCAGACCACAUUAAAACUGUCAGACAAGCUCAGGUAGAGCGCAUUAGCUACAUUCGAACGAUCUCUCGACCUGUAACUGAUUUGAUUGAUUACAACAAUACACUACCUUGUCGGGACAUGGGUCAGAGACUAAGUGACCCUGUCCCUGAGGUAUCCCCUAGGGAGAAACCAAAGGAUACACAGGAACAUAAAGAUAAACCCAAGGAGAAGAGGAUCCCUCAAGCCCUGACCUUUCUUCAGCUGUUUACACUGCUGAGCUGCGUCAAGGUGAAGAAAACACCCUUUGAUCCCUCCCAGAGUGGUGAGGGGAGAAAGGGAACAACGAUAAACGAUACGAACAACAAUAAUGACUCUGAUACUGGUGACGUGAAAAGGAUCAAGGACAAGAGUAAAGGAAAGGUUGGGGGAGAGAAACAUUGCAUUGAAUCUCAGGACCACAAAUGCAGAACCACACCGGAAAAAGAAAAAGACAUUAAACAAAGACCUAACUCGAAAGCAAAGGAGACCCAGCAGAAAGAGAAGAAGAGCAUCCAUCCAGCUGUGGCGGCCCUGCAGCUGUUCACUCUCUUCUGCUGUUGUGGGAAAGUCAAGCUGAGGAAGACUCGUCCCUCUCAGAACAGACAGAAUAGAAAGGACCAGGACAAAGAUAAUGCAUCUGAUACUGGCUCGGACUUGUCUGGAGGUGAUGUUACAACCAAAAGGGUAAAGGACAAGAGUAAGGGAAAGGUGGGGAGGGAGAAAGACCAGACUGAAGUUCAGCUGUUGAAAUCAUCUCAAGACCACAAACCCAUAAGUACAACACCAGAAACAGACAAGGGAACUAAUUCGGGACAAAGACCUAACUCUGAAAAUCGAAGGACACCCCGGCAAGUGAAGACCCCUGUGGAGGAAAUUUACAUAAGACCUGACUCUCCGACUCUACCACGUGCCCACAGCUCCCUCUCUCAGUUUUCCCUGGCUAGGAGCCUGGCCAUCCUCCCGCUGGAGUGGCAGCUACCUGGAGUCCCUCUGACCACCUCGUCUAUGGCAACUAGGACAGAGAGAAAGCCAUCCUCUACCAACACUUCGACACACGCACAGAUGGAAACACAGACAACAGAUAUGAACACAGACUCACAGACCACUGCCACCUCUCAGAGCCAGAUCUCCACAGUCUCAUCGGAGACCAUGAUAGAUGUUCACACGUCAGACUCCAUUACCCAGACCUCCACUCUUGACAUGGCCCUGACACCUGACAGCACUAAGGACAUGAUCACUACUGAUGAGGAUGUGAAGGAUGACUCUGCUAAAGAUUUGAUCUCCACCCUAACAGACACCUCUAUGGAGAAAUCCAUCAGUGAGAUCAGCCUGAAAGACCUCAUCGCUGAGUAUGAAGAUGACAAUGAGCUGAAGGAUAUGGCUGCCUCCGCUAUCCCUGAUGCUGAUAAUGCCAAUGAGGAUGCAAAGCUGCUGGAGCAUGCAGCACUUUAUGACUUCAUGUUGACAGUGGAGACCGAGCUGCCUCUGCAUCUCUGAAGAGUCAAUAGGCCUAAUGAACAUUUCAAUGUAGCAAAAGCUAUACUAUGAUCAAUUAAUAAAACAUUUUUUAUGCAGCAAAUUCUCACUACUGUUGACAUGUGACGCAGCAUGUUUAGAUUAGGCCUAUUUGUUUGAAUUCACCAAAAAUAAUAAAUAUUACUGCCUUGGGAACAAGCAAACCACUACAGGUAGGGGAGAGUGAAUACAUCAGCAUAGAGUUCAUUUGGACAAUAAUGAUCCAUAGGCAUAUUGCAUUCUGUAAUGUAUGAAAUAACAUUCACCUGCAGCGAAUACAAAUCAGAUGUGUUCUAUUUUCUCCCUCUGUCCUUCCCUCCCACAUCCAGAUGAGGUUUGUAUUGUCAUGUUAUCCAGCCCUUAAACUGUUUAGCAUUUUAAUAACACCUCGCAAACUCAGGGCCUAAUUACCUUUGUUUCAAAUGCAUCAAAUAGUCCUCCUAUCACCACAUAUCUGGGCCACCUGAAGGUGCUGUGUUACUGGUGGGUUUCCAACAGAUUACAGGGAGAUUGGUUAAGUAAGUCAACCUAAAUAAGGAUGGUGGGAACAUCCUCAUACUACAGCACAUCAUUCUCUUUGCCUAUAUUACAGGAGGGGAGGAUAUAUUGGUGUCAUCAGAGUAAUUGAUUAGCACACAUACUGUCUGUGUUGUUUUAUCACCU
rnacentral:lncRNA from 8 species